UUUCCGUAGGUGAACCUGCGGAAGGAUCAUUACUGAGCGUGCCCCAACCCUAAAUUGGGUUGGGGUCCUCCCGGGGGGCGACCCCCAAACCCCUCCUGUCUAUGAUACCCUGUUGCUUUGGCAGGCCCGCCUCGUAUUUUGAGGCCGUCGGCGGCAACGCUGGCCUGUGCCUGCCAGAGGACCGUAAGACUCGUGUCUGUGUGUCGUCUGAGUACUACUGAGAAAUAAGCAUAAAACUUUCAACAACGGAUCUCUUGGUUCUG
rnacentral:misc_RNA from 1 species